AUCUGUCGAACUGCUUUGCUUUAUCUUGGCCAGGUCGCAAUUGUAAAUGAGAACUUGUUCUCAACUUGCCUACCUGGUUAAAUAAAGGUAAAAUAAAAUAAAAUAAAUAAAUAAAAGAUGCAGAGGCUAUUCUAGAUGAGCGUGGAGACAUGCUCUCUGUCCAUCACCUCUGUAAUCUAUUCUAGAUGAGCGUGGAGACAUGCUCUCUGUCCAUCACCUCUGUAAUCUAUUCUAGAUGAGCGUGGAGACAUGCUCUCUGUCCAUCACCUCUGUAAUCUAUUCUAGAUGAGCGUGGAGACAUGCUCUCUGUCCAUCACCUCUGUAAUCUAUUCUAGAUGAGCGUGGAGACAUGCUCUCUGUCCAUCACCACUGUAAUCUAUUCUAGAUGAACGUUAGGAGGCAUACAACACAGCGUAGGUUUAGCCUAUAGGUAGUGGUUAUAUUUGUUUAACUCCGAUUAGGAGGCAGACAACACAGCGUAGGUUUAGCCUGUAGGUAGUGGUUAUAUUAGUUUAACUCCGAUUAGGAGGCAGACAACACAGCGUAGGUUUAGCCUAUAGGUAGUGGUUAUAUUUGUUUAACUCCGAUUAGGAGGCAGACAACACAGCGUAGGUUUAGCCUAUAGGUAGUGGUUAUAUUUGUUUAACUCUGAUUAGGAGGCAGACAACACAGCAUAGGUUUAGCCUGUAGGUAGUGGUUAUAUUUGUUUUUGUAUUCUUUCAGGCUCACAGUGCGACCGAAACAAGGUUCCGUAUGAAUAUGUAUACUGUUAAACCCCUAACAGAUACAGAAAAACAUUUCUAAGCAAAACAGAGAAGACAGAAAUAAACAGACAAGUCGUUUAAUCUCAGAAGACAGUACAACACUGCUCCGCUCACAGCGAGCAUGGAGAGAGAUAGAGGAUCCGUAACAGGAGGACACACGUCGGAGUCCCAUUGAGGUGAUGAUCUGGGCUAGGACGCCCGCCAUGCAUCAGUCCUUUGCUCCUGUCUGUAUGUGUCUCAGCAGACCAAUACAUAGAUGCCCCAGCCAGUGUAGGGGGCCCUGGUCCCAGUUGACCAAUAGAUAGAUGCCCCAGCCAGUGUAGGGGGCCCUGGUCCCAGUUGACCAAUAGUUCAAUGCUCCAGCCAGUGUAGGGGGCCCUGGUCCCAGUUGACCAAUAGUUCGAUGCUCCAGCCAGUGUUGGGGGGCCUGGUCCCAGGUGACCAAUAGAUGCCCCAGUUUACCAAUAGAUGGCUGCGAUUGGCCCCUGCUGCUCUAUG
rnacentral:lncRNA from 13 species